GAUGAACGCUAGCGGGAGGCCUAACACAUGCAAGCUGAGCGGUAUUGUUUCUUCGGAAACGAGAGAGCGGCGUACGGGUGCGGAACACGUGUGCAACCUGCCUUUAUCAGGGGGAUAGCCUUUCGAAAGGAAGAUUAAUACUCCAUAAUAUAAUAGAUGGCAUCAUUUAUUAUUGAAAACUCCGGUGGAUAGAGAUGGGCACGCGCAAGAUUAGAUAGUUGGUGAGGUAACGGCUCACCAAGUCGAUGAUCUUUAGGGGGCCUGAGAGGGUGAUCCCCCACACUGGUACUGAGACGCGGACCAGACUCCUACGGGAGGCAGCAGUGAGGAAUAUUGGACAAUGGGUUAGCGCCUGAUCCAGCCAUCCCGCGUGAAGGACGACGGCCCUAUGGGUUGUAAACUUCUUUUGCACAGGGAUAAACCUAUCUACGUGUAGAUAGCUGAAGGUACUGUACGAAUAAGCACCGGCUAACUCCGUGCCAGCCGCCGCAGUAA
rnacentral:rRNA from 1 species